rnacentral:rRNA from 1 species
AUACGGAGGGUGCAAGCGUUACUCGGAAUCACUGGGCGUAAAGGACACGUAGGCGGGAAGCCAAGUCUAAUGUGAAAUCCUACAGCUUAACUGUAGAACUGCAUUGGAAACUGGUUACCUAGAGUAUGGGAGGGGGAGAUGGAAUUAGUGGUGUAGGGAUAAAAUCCGUAGAUAUCACUAGGAAUACCUAAAGCGAAGGCGAUCUCCUGGAACAUUACUGACGCUAAGGUGUGAAAGCGUGGGGAGCAAACGGGAUUAGAAACCCCAGAGUCC